GUACAAAUAGCCUAACUGGAAAGGCGUUUCCUUUGGAUGGAGAAUACUGUAGGUUCAAGUCCUACUUUGUAAUCACCA
rnacentral:tRNA from 2 species